rnacentral:rRNA from 1 species
UACGAAGGGGGCUAGCGUUGCUCGGAAUGACUGGGCGUAAAGGGCGCGUAGGCGGCUCAUACAGUCAGAUGUGAAAUUCCUGGGCUUAACCUGGGGGCUGCAUUUGAUACGUGUGGGCUUGAGUGGGGAAGAGGGUCGUGGAAUUCCCAGUGUAGAGGUGAAAUUCGUAGAUAUUGGGAAGAACACCGGUGGCGAAGGCGGCGACCUGGUCCUUGACUGACGCUGAGACGCGAAAGCGUGGGUAGCAAACAGG